GUGUCUGUAGCCUAUUGGUAAAGCUAACACUUUGGUAUGUGUCCCAGUUCUUCUGGUGUCAUGGGUUCAAUUUCCAUCAGACACA